AAAAAUGUUGCAGGCAUUUGGAACACUGUACGAAUCUGAUUCACUGGAACCAGGGAAGAGGGAAAUGGGAAUGGACCUGAGGACUCAGUACACCUGUGGCUCAGUCAAGGUACCACCUUCCUCUCAUGAACCGACCCUCAAC